rnacentral:lncRNA from 1 species
CCAUGAAUUUUCUGUUUGAGCCGGGAUGAUCAGUGAGGCGAUAGACAAAGCGUGUGGCUUAUUCAGCCAAUUUUUUUCUGUGCAAGUGACCGUUAUUUAAAUGAGGGUUCGAAGUUUCAAUUUCUUCACCUGAGAAAUUUAUGAAAAUUAGCUGCAGUAAUGAUGACACUACAUCAUGGUUGUUCCCUACAAUGUGGAAUGGCUAAUCUUCCUGAUCAAAAGGAUGACUUUUGAGGUGAAACAGUAACAGAAUGCGAAGGAUGGCUAUUGAUAAUAGGUGCUGUGAGAAUCCAGGAUGGAUUUUGGUUCUCAAAUCUGCGUAGAAUUUCUAUGAACUAGAGUUAUGUACUGCAAUAAAUAAUUUUUGUUUACAUCCUUCACAACCGUCGUUUGCUGUUUACUUUAGAUGGGCUACUGGGUGAUGGAAUUAUUGGUGGAAUGCCAAUUCUUGUUUGAUGCCCAAGUUACUGCAACUUGGUGAUUUUGCCUCAAAAGCAACAAGUACCAAGUUUACUUCAGGACCAUGAACAGAUGGAUGACAAUUGAAGUAUCGGAUAAAUUCCUCUAAGGUUCUGUCAGUGUGGUUGAGUAGCACUUUUAUGGAGUAGUAUGAGAUUGUCUAUUGGUGCCAAUUACUUCCGUAAGGCAGUUUUGAAGCUAGAUUUUUCUUGUGUGUACCUGGUAAUGAGUGCCCUAAAGGUCCAUCUCCAUGACACGUCACACCUAUAUUACUCUUUAGUAAGCGUCCACUCUAGAUAAACUACCUCAAUUUUAACAAAAUAGCGCUGCUGUUUUAUUUUUUUGGGAACCAAAAUCCUAAGAUAUCAAAAAUUUUGUGACACAAGAUUGGCUAAUGUCAUGCCAUCUCUUGAUGUAUUUAAAUCAGGUCUUGUUUUAGAUGUGCUCUUGGGGAUGCUAGUCCACUGCAGUAUCUCACGUUGGACUGGGGAAGUUGUUUUUACGGUUAGGAUGUGGAGUUUAAUCGUGAGCACAGUGAAGGCCUUUAUUUGGUCAUGAAGCCACAGAGUUGAUGCAUUGCAUUGUAGAGCGAGAAGUAGUGUGUAUAAACUAUUAAUGAUGAAGGGGAUCAAGGGGUUUUGCUGCACCUUAUGCCCCUCAAAACUCAAAAAUCUAGAUUUUAAGUGAAUAUGUUAUUCAGCUUGCAUCAGACCAUAAGGAUGAUUGGAAAAGCACAAGUAUACUGAAAUCAGCACCUUUUGAUGAUGUAGAGAAUAGAUCAUAAUUGUGUGCCAAACCUGAAAGCAAAUGCUAGAACAUAGGAGGUGCCUGAUAAUUUUCUCCAGAGCAUUUCGUUUUAGGUUUAGCUGUGAACUGCAGUACAAGUUUGCUGUAUUCUAAUGGUUCCACCUUUUUGUCAUUUGCAGCAAAUAAUAGCUCAGAUCAAACAAAGGAUCAGGAUUUGCUAUCCCAUUUACUGAGAAGCCUGGCUGGUCUUGCUGGUAUAGUUAAUGAGAAAAACUUGACUGGAUUAUUACCUGGAUCUCAAGAUUUGCAAAAUGCUGGGACAUCUGAUGGGAAUCCUGCAAAGGUAUCAAAUUUGGUUCUACAAAAUGCUGAAUUUUUCCCUGUACCGGUGCACUUCUGAGUUCUGACUGUUUCAAUUUGCAGGACACUUCUAGGAAUAUGCUGCAAUAUUCAACCAUGCCUGCUUCUGAAUCAGCACAGAAAAGAAUUUUGGGAGAUGAUGAUAAUGGGAUUGUACGAAUUUCAUCUCCAGCUCAAUCCACUCUACUUUUACCUCCAAAAGAAGGCAUCUUGACCAAAGCAAGUUCCUUGGGUACUACCAUUGGGAAGACAAGAAUGAAUAACAUUGACCUGAAUAAUGCUUAUGAUGAUUCUCAAGAUUGUAUAGAAAAUCUACAAAGUUCUGAUUGCCCUACGCAUAUUGGAAAAGCUUCUUCUGGCUGCCCUUUAUGGGUGUAUCAAGACCCAUACAAGUCUAGCCCACCCCAGCCAAGUGGGAACUCAGGCUCUACAUCUACGCAGUCACCAUCCAGUUCCAGUGGAGAGGCCCAGGUAUGAGUGAUACUUUUGAUUAGCCUUCCUUUGCUCGUUGUUUAGUAUUUUAACAGUAGUCAUGCAAAAAAUAUAACUCCUUCACUCUAGCAUGUACUAUCCCUUACAUGCACAUGGAUUUUCACAUCCUGUUAUAACACUCUUCAUCUAGUUAAGAAGCUAUUUCUUUUGUACUAUAAAAGAAAUCAUCUGGCAAAUGCUGGAGAAGUAUCUGAAGUUUAGGAAUUGGCUUUGAUGUUGAUUCCAUGUUUCUCUGGCUUCUGUUCAGCUCAUUUAGUUUCAUAUUUUCAAAAACAAAAUUUUGUUCUUUCAAUACCAAAAAUUGAUAAUAAUAUAACCUACAGAACCAACGGUAACAGUUGGUUGGGUAAUGCCACCUCCAUCUGGAUUUCAGCUUUUUAAAGGCAGCAGGUCUUGUAGUCCUUUAAAGGGAGAGCAAAACUUGGACAGUAUAUGAUUCUCUUUAGUUUAUGUGAUCCGUCUGUGACACGUUUCCAAAACAAAAGUGAAUUAUUCUUGACAACAGAAUUUUGCUAUUUUCCAGAGCCGCACAGAUCGAAUAGUUUUUAAACUCUUUGGGAAAGACCCUAGUGAUUUUCCUCUUGCCCUUAGGAAACAGGUAUGUGGAUGUUCGAUAUCCAUGAUGCUUGACAGCAUUUUCUUGUUUUGUCCAUCUAAAGUUGAUGUUGUGUUGUAAAAUGGCUUAGCAGAUUCUUGAUUGGUUAUCACACAGUCCUAGUGACAUUGAAAGCUACAUCAGACCUGGUUGUGUCAUACUAACAAUUUACAUACGCAUGGAUAAAUCCACAUGGGAAGAGGUAAGCUUUUGGUACUCAUCACUAAAAGUAUAUUGCUCUUAUUGCUACUAUAGAGGAAGUUAUCGCUAAUUCUGUUGGUAUUAACAGAGCUCUGUUUGUUCUUUGUGCUUGACUAUAUCAUAUUAUGAUCAAACUUUGACUUCAGCUUGAAUAAAGCUCAUAAAGAGGGAAUGAGCUUGACAUCAGACUGUUGUGUGAACCAGAUUGGGCUUUUCUUUUUUGAGCUUGAUCUGGCUGCCAUGCUUUCAGCUCUGUAGAAUCUUCUGUGCUGAUCUAAGUUACUGCUACUAUGCAGCUGUGUUAUGAUCUCACCUCCAGUUUGAGGAGGCUUCUUGAUGCAUCUACAGAUUCUUUCUGGAAAAGCGGAUGGAUAUAUGCUCGAGUGAGGCAUCGUGUGGCAUUUGUAUAUGAUGGUUUGUUCUCAUUUUAUCUUGUAGUGUUCGCAUCUCUCUUCCAGUUAUUAUUAUACUUAGAGCAGUUACGGAAAACACUUGCAUUUUCUAAAGGAAGAUUGGAUAUCUUGAUGUGUCCUGCUGCAGGCUGCAUUGUUUUGGACACACCAUUACCGCAUAAGAGCCAAAAAAGUUGCAGGAUAUUAAAUAUCAAGCCAAUUGCAGUUUGCGCCUCUGGUGAAGUUAAAUUUUCAGUUAGAGGAAUCAACUUAUCUCAACCCACCACUAGGUAUUCUCCUCAGACAUUCAUAAGAUAGUGAUCUGUAAGUGUGCUUCAAAUCUUAAAUCUUUGAAUUUGUCUCAAGUUGUUGAUGCGUGUUAUCUGUACCUUUUCAGGUUACUAUGUGCACUAGAGGGAAAAUAUUUAGCCCAGGAACGUUGUGCUGAUGUAAUAGGCGGAGCUGAUCUAUACAUUGAGCAUGCUGAGAUCCAGACACUUAACUUCACUUGCACUGUACCAGAUGUUACUGGCAGGGGAUUUAUAGAGGUAUUCAUUAUAGGUUCUUAUGGUCUGCAAGCUCCUAAAAAUCCUGCUUAGGAAAUAGAAGGUGUGCUGAUAAUUUAUAAGCAUGAAAUAUAUGAGCAAACAAACUUAUAAAAUGAGAUAUAUGAGCCAAAAGGAUCUAUUUUCAAUUACAUGUGCUCUCUCUCUCUCUCAGAGAGCAAAGUGGGCCUGGCCCUGAAGUCUUCUGUGACAAUGUUUUGAUUACCUGCUUAAGACUUGAUUUUUGUCCUCCAGGUGCUCACAGAUAUUUGCACUAUCAAUGGUCAAGGUUGGAUAUGAAUUCAUUAUAGAGUACAUAGUGUUGAAGUUGGUGUCAGUAGUCAUAUUGUUGCUCAGGUGUUACAUAAUCAAUGUUUUAUAUACAAUGGGGGUUUGUUUUUUCCUGAUUGAGUGCCUUUUUAUUAGGUUGAGGAUCAUGGUCUAAGCAGCAGCUUCUUUCCAUUUAUAGUUGCCGAGAACGAUGUUUGUUCUGAAAUAUCUACCCUGGAGAGCAUCAUUGAGGCUGCUGAAAUUUCUAAUGGUUUACAUGGAAACAACCAAAAUUUAGAAGCCAGGAACCAAGCUCUGGACUUCAUACAUGAAAUUGGUUGGCUUCUCCAUAGAAGUCAGUUGAAGUUUAGAUUGGGUCAACAGGAUCCCAACUUGGAUACAUUUCCCUUCCAGCGAUUCAGAUGGCUUAUAGAGUUCUCAGUCGAACAUGACUGGUGUGCGGUGGUCAAGAUGCUUUUGAACGUUCUGUUCAACAAACUCAUGGGUGAAGAAAAACGCUCUUCAAUUGAAGAUGCACUGCUGGACAUUGGGUUGCUCCAUAGAGCUGUUCGGCGAAAUUGUAGGUCCAUGGUUGAAGUCCUCCUAAGAUAUCAUCCAGAUGCAGAUCUGAAUAAAUUAAGUGCAAUCCGCUAUGUAUUUAGACCUGACGUCAAAGGCCCUGGGGGCUUGACUCCUCUGCACAUAGCAGCCGGACGCGAUGGAGCUGAGCAUGUGUUGGAUGCAUUAACUGAUGAUCCUGGACUGGUACGGCCCUUCCUAAUAUGCAUAUUGUUGUUAGUGGAACAUUACUUUUGGAAAUGGAAAAAUACUGCCCAUGUCCCGCUCCAAAUUGGAAGAAAAAACCAGAAAAAGGAAUAAAAACAAUCAAUGUAACCCUAUAAUCUAUUCGAUAGCAAUUUUUUUUUUAUUUUUUUUAUUUUAGAGGGGAGUUGGGGGGUGUUUACUGCCUUGGUGUGGCUUGCAUUGUCUGUUCUUCUUUUCCUGUGUUCUAGGUACUUAAUAAUUGAUUUUCACUCUUGAUGAGCAAUACACCUGUGCGUGUGUGCCUGUAUGCCCCGGCAGCACUUUGCUUCCAUCACGGCUCUUGCGGGAUCUUUUGCUUCUUUCUUUGGCUUCUGCAUUUGUGUGGCCAGAAAUGGAGGGAUCCAGGAGGGCAUAUUGCUCUUUCAUAAUUUUUGAAAUUUAGACCAGUUAUUUUUUUACUAUUUAUUUUUGGGGUCAAUUUUUCAAUGAGGUUUUUCCUGAGAUAGAAAGCUGCAUGUACUCAGAGCAGGUGCUUGUUUGGAUGACUGUUCUGCUUUGGUUGUAGCUAUCUUAGCGCUGUGUCUGAUGACUGCUUUGUUCAGGUGGGAGUUGAAGCAUGGAGAAGUGCCCGUGACAGCACAGGAUUGACACCAAAUGAUUAUGCAUGCUUGCGAGGUCACUACUCAUACAUCCAUCUGGUCCAAAAGAAAAUCAAUAAAAAAUGGGGCAGCCAGCAUGUGGUGCUUGAGAUUCCUGAUGGUCAUCUACAGAGCAGCAUGAACCAGAAAACGGCAGAUGAAAAUAAGUCAAGGAAGGUUUCCAGCCUCAGUACUGAGAUGAGUGUAGUGAAACCAAGUCACGUACACUGCAGGCAGUGUGAGCAGAAAUUGGCUUAUGGAAGGAACAGAACAUCGCUAGCAAUUUACAGGCCGGCCAUGCUUUCGAUGGUUGCAAUUGCGGCUGUCUGUGUUUGCGUGGCUUUGUUGUUUAAGAGCUCUCCGGAAGUGGAUUAUGUUUAUGGUCCCUUCAGGUGGGAAUAUUUGGAGUAUGGAUCAAGCUGAGGUGGGAAUUUGUGGCAUUGUUGUUGGAGUGGGGCUUGUAAAAUAAAAAGCUUCCCUUGAAAAAAAGAUGUUGCCCAUGUUUGUGUUGAUCUCAUAUAAGUACUAAAUAUUACUAUAUAGGUAGGAGCUACAAUGCUGUAGCUAUGUAUAUUUAUUCAUGCUUUGUGAUUAUUUCGGAUCAUAAAGAAAGAUCAGUUAUCUGAAGCUGAUGUAUUAACGCAACAUAGGCUGUAAUAAUUCUUGGUGGCAGAUGAUCCAUAUGGAUGAGGGGGCGUAGAAGGAUUUUUUUUUUUUUUGCAAGGAUUCGAAGAUAUUAUCUGUUGUUAUCCAAAUCUGGAGAUAUUGGAAUGUUAAUUAGUGGCCAUAUUUUGAUCGGUGACGUUUAAUGAAUGCAAGCUCACAUGAAACUACCAGCAUUUGUUCUAAAUCUCUUCCAUUCUUAGUCGUUGUUGAGUAGUAGUUGAUUUUUGGACAAACAAGAGCGAUUGAGCAGAGGCCCGAGGAUCAUCAUCAUCAUCAUCAUUUCAAUUCACGCAGAAUUUGCGUUGGCACUUGGAGAGAAGGUCAUUGCACGAGCACGACCGCCCAAUCCCCAAUCUACAACAUUAUUCUGGUAGUAUGCGCUAGGCACUUGGGCAGCAGCAAAUUCAGAGGCCGCCGCCAAAAGAUAGAGAGUGAGGGAGGCGGCUUUAGAAGGAAGGUGGUCCGUCGGCCGGCAAAUGACGACGACAUCCCCAUUUUCCUUGUCCUUCUCGUCCUCCCUCCGUCCCUCACCUCUCCCUCAUCCCCGCAGAGCCACCCUGAUUAACUUGGCCUCAACCCAUUCCAUCUCAGAGCUUGUAAUGAUUCGUUGCGCCGCCCCCGCCCUGGCAUCCACUACCCGGGCAGCCGCCGCAGCUCCCUUGACGUCGCCCCCCCAAAAAAGGCACUGGAAACAAGGCGAGUACCCAGGUCUCAUUCAAGACUUCUCAAUUUCCCAAAAAAACAAGAAGACCCACCCCAUAAAAAAUAUUAAGAAGAAACUGGAUAAGAAGAACAAUGCCAAGGCCUGGGCCAACACUGUCACCGAAGCUCUCUCCGAUUGCAUUGACAAAAAGCAGUGGCUCCCAGCCCUCCAUGUAUGAUUCUUCAAGCUUCUUUCUGUUUUCUGUGUGUUAUGUUUCCCUCUCCUCGAAUUUUUUUGGAGGCGCGAAUUUUACAUUGGACUUUGGUGCUUCCAUCAAUCAAGGAAAAAGAAAAAAAAAAAAGAAGAUGAUCUUUGUAUCGCUAUUGCCGACAGACAUUAGAAUUUUUUGUUCUUUUUAAACUUUUCGCUUAAUUUAAGCAAAUAGAUUUGGCUAAUCGUGCGAAUGUUCUGGGGAAAGUAUUUUCUGGUGUGCUGAAAAAAAACUCGUCAUCUUGUCUGCUUUGUGGCAUUAAGAAAGUGGUCCUUUUAAAAAAUUUCAGGUAUUUGAGAUGCUGAAAGAACAGCCCUUUUAUCAACCAAAAGAAGGGACUUACAUGAAGCUCCUCGUUCUGCUUGGGAAAUGCGGUCAACCACAACAAGCCCGUCAGCUUUUUGACACGAUGCUUGAAGAGGGAUUGCAACCCACUUCAGAACUUUACACGGCCUUGCUUUCUGCUUAUUGUAGAAGCAACAUGAUUGAUGAAGCAUUUUCAGUUCUUGAUCGAAUGGUAGUCCUUCCUCUCUGUCAACCAGAUGUUUAUACUUACAGCAUCCUGAUUAAGGCUUGUAUGGAUGAUUCUCGUUUUGAGAUGGUUGAGUCACUUUAUCAACAAAUGGCUGAAAGAUUAAUUACUCCUAAUACGGUCACUCAAAAUAUAGUUUUGAGUGGUUAUGGGAAGGCGGGAAAAUAUGAACAAAUGGAGAAAGUGCUCUCAGGAAUGCUCAAGAGCACGUCGUGUAGGCCUGAUGUAUGGACAAUGAAUAUUAUAUUGAGUUUGUUUGGGAACAAGGGUCAGAUUGAGAUGAUGGAGAGAGGGUAUGAGAAGUUUCGUGAUUUUGGCAUUGAGCCCGAAACCCGAACUUUUAAUAUCCUUAUUGGUGCUUAUGGGAAGAAGAAGCUGUAUGAUAAGAUGUCAUCUGUUAUGGAAUACAUGCGCAAGCUUUCAUUUCCGUGGACAACAUCAACCUACAACAAUGUCAUCGAGGCGUUUGCAGAUGCUGGUGACGCCAAGCACAUGGAGUGCACAUUUGAUCAGAUGCGUACCGAGGGUAUGAAGGCAGACACUAAGACAUUCUGCUGUUUGAUUAAAGGUUAUGCUAAUGCGGGUGCUUUUCACAAGGUCAUCAGCUGUGUUCAGUUGGCUGGGAAGUUGGAAAUACCUGAGAAUACAUCCUUCUACAACGCUGUCAUUUAUGCUUGUGCAAAGGCUGAGGAUUUAAUGGAGAUGGAUAGAGUUUUCAAGAGAAUGAAAGAAAAGGAAUGCCAACCAGAUUCUCUGACAUUCUCACUUAUGGUUGAUGCUUACAGGAAGGAAGGUAUGAAUGACAAAGUCUACGAUUUGGAGCAAGAAAAACAGAUGAUCAAGGCUAGUGCAGUGGGAGCCGGCCAAGAUAUUGAAUCACAAACCCUUGUUGAUCCGUGGUUCUGAGUCUGAAAUUGUGAUUACUUUCUAUAGAUGUCCAUGUUAAUAGUUCAAGACCAGCAAAACAGCAGUUUUUGACUGGUUCUGGGUGGAACUACUGAUGAAAAUUUUUAUUGCCGAGCUAGACUUCUGGGCAGAUAAUCCAACAGCAACUCUGCCUUGCACUUAAGUCGAGUGCUACUACGUGGAGAACAUGGAUGAUCAACUACUUCAGCACCUCCGUUGCACAUAGCUGUCGUUUUAUACUUCUGCAUUGUACUUUUUUAACCCAAAAUGCAGCACGCAAGGCCGUCGAUUGCAAAGUCUCUGUUAUAUGUAUUGUGGAAAAAAGAGUGCCAUCUGAAAUUUAAACGGUCACUGUUAGUGUAAUAUCAGGCUUUUCAUCUCCCCAUUCCUUUUCUUUCCUUUUUAUAUAUAUAGUUUGGUUGGUACAAUUAUAAUCUUUUAUAUACUGGAGUUCCUUUUCUUUUAAUGUAUACCCAGUUUUGUUAGUAAAAUUACUAAUCUUUUAUAAACUGGAGUAGAAUAAGACGUGCACAGAAUAAGAGCAAGCAAAUAAAUCAAUCAACAAGGGGAUGAGAUAAAGGAGGUUGGAAAGUGAAUCAUCAGAGGGAAUCUCAAUGGCUUAUUGGCUUUUGGGAGUAGGCGUCUGAAAUGAGACAUAUCACAUCCUAUUUCUCAGGAUGGGUGAAGCUGUGUCCUGUGCCCUUGGUUUAUCAUUUCCACUGGUGAAGUAAAAGCCUUCUUCCUAUCUGUGCUUGUAAUUAAUUCUAUUUGGAGUAAAAGCUCUCUUGAAUUUGCGACAACAGUUAGGAGUGAGUAAUGAGUGAUUGAACAAUAAUUAGCUAAUAAAAUUUGCAGACUAUCUGUAUCUGGACGAGACUGGCAGAGAGUCCAGUUCCAUGCAGAAAGAUCCUCAGGCUUGAAGAGGAAUAUUAGCAUGAAGUGAGAGUCCUACUAUUCUUCUUGCUCGUCUGUCUUUUUCUUGCACAUGGGAGAUUACACGACGCAUCAUGGAUUUACAUGAUUUCUCAUAAAAAUAGAUAAACUGAGGGUGAAAGAAUUUAAUCUUAAUAGGCUAAAAAGAGCAGCAUCAAUAAAGAAAGGACCGAUGCAAACCAUGAUAGAAUACCAAUGAAUGGAAAAAUAUUACUUCCAGACCCCAAACAUGAGAUUUGGGGUAAGACUUGCAAAUGCACCUGAGACCACUUUGUAGAACAAAUACCAGGGAUUAUUAAAAAAAAAAAAAACAAAAAGAGUUACUGGUAGAACAAAUGUACAGAUAAGAAAAACAAAAAAAAAAAAAAAGAAGCAAAAAUAUAGAUAGAUAAAGAGCAGGCCCAACUUCAUCCCGUGGCAGCAUUAAUCUGGAUUAGGCUAGACCAAUUCUCCCAUUUGAGAGGCUUAACCACCUCCCAUGUGAAGUCGGGGUCAUCUCGGCCAAAAUGCCCGUAAGCAGCAGUCUUCAAGAACCUGUUAUUCCCACCUCUCUUAAGAUCCAAAUUAAUGGCAAUCAUACCAGGCCUGAAAUCAAAGUUAUCCUUCACGAUCUUGAGAAUUUCUUUGUCGGGGAUCCUUCCUGUGCCAUAAGUGUCCACAAAGACAGACAAGGGCUCGGGGACACCAAUGGCGUAUGAAACCUGCACAAUGCACCUCCUCGCAAGUCCAUUGCCAACAAUGCUCUUGGCAGCUUGCCUGACAAUGUAGGCACCACUCCGGUCCACCUUGGUUGGGUCCUUUCCGGAAAAGGCACCACCACCGUGAGCACCCCAUCCACCGUAAGUAUCAAUAAUGAUCUUGCGGCCGGUAAGACCAGCGUCGCCAUGAGGACCACCAAUGACAAAGCGGCCAGAAGGAUUGAGGUGGAAAACUGUUUUCUCAUCGAGGUACUUCUUGGGAAUCACAGGCUUAAUGACAUGCUCCUUCAGAUCAGCAGCAAUCUCAUCGUUGGUGACGGUCUCGUCAUGCUGAGUGGAAAUCAAGACAGUGUGAACUCGGACAGGAACCAUGGCACCAUUCUCAUUGUAGUACUCAACAGUCACUUGGGUUUUACCAUCUGGUCUGAGCCAGGGGCAAGUACCAUUCUUGCGAACCUCUGUGAGGCGGGCACCAAGCUUGGUUGCAAGAACAUGGCUGAGAGGCAUCAAUUCAGGGGUCUCAUCGGUGGCAUAGCCAAACAUGUGUCCCUGGUCACCAGCGCCUAUUUCCUCGGGGCACUUGGUGAGAUGACCGUGGACACCCUGAGCGAUGUCAGGGCUCUGCUGUUCAAUGUUGACAAGGACCUUGCAGUUGUCAGCAUCCAAGCCUACAUCAUCAGAAACGAAACCAAUGGCACGGCAGGUGUCGCGGACAAUUUUCUCAUAGUCGACCUGGGCCUUGGUGGUGAUCUCACCGAAGACCAUGACCAUGUUGGUCUUGGUGCAGGUUUCGCAAGCAACCUUGCUCUCGGGGUCUUGAGCCAGACAGGCGUCAAGCACUGCAUCCGAGAUCUGGUCACAGAGCUUGUCGGGGUGCCCCUCAUUGACAGACUCAGAAGUGAACAAGAAGGUCUCCAUUUUCUUCUUUCAAGCUGCAAACACUCGAUAAAUGACAAAAAAUAAACAAUAAAUAAAUUAAUUGAGGCGGAAGUGGAACACAAACAAAGUGGGAGCAGAACAGAAUGAAAACAGGGGAAAAGCCAAGAGGCACGGUUAGUAAAAGGAUCCACCAUUAAGAGAUUAUGUUGCAGCGGGAAGACCCGAUGUAAUUUUACACAGGAAAAGCAGAAUCAAGGGGCUAACUUUCCUACGCCUGGUAUCGAAUGGAUCGAAGGAAAUGCACGGAUUGAUGUGGAGAGUAAUAGUAAUUAAUCAACAACAACGGGUUACUGGAAAACUAUCAAUAGAUGAUAUUAUGUUGGCAAGAUACGGGGAGAUUGCAAUACAGGGUAAGGAGAGAACAGAAGAUCCGCAGGGAUUCCACAGCAGAAAACGGUGUAUUGUUCAAUGAAAAACGUAGCAACAUGCAUAAGUCUAGGGAACGAAAAAAAGAAAAGGUGACAACUUUUUUACUACUGUAAUGAAGAAAUCCAUACACGGACGUGUUCUUAACAAAAACUUGAAAAAAGAAUGAAAGAAAGAGAUACAACUACUGCACCAGUAUUACUACUACCGAAGCGACAAAGAAAGAAAGCGCUUGAAGAAUACCUUGGAAUAGCAGUGUCGUCAGAUUUGGGUGCGUAUGAAGGAGGAGGAGCAAUUGUGGAGGGGAGCACGAAACAAAAGGAGGGGUUCUUCCUAAUAUAUAGGGGCGGGGGGUUUGGGUAGUUGGCCGCCUUCCUGUUCUGGGCUUCCUUUGAAAAUGGGAACAGCUACGGAUUGUAAAAUGUAAACUACGUAAUAACCUCGUAAUAUGAGGCCGCAUUCAUUCUACUACAGUGUUUCUUUUUUGCAUUUUUUUAAUUUUCGUGACAAAACAAGAAUCUUCCUUAGAUAGACAGUAAUAGAAUGGAUGCCCAUUGUCCGUAGGUAGGGAGGUCAAGUAAAGUAAAGUAGGUGGAGAUCCAGAGGGUCCCUCACUCCUCCUGUCCCUCGCUCUACUACACCUACAUAUCUACGGCUAUGGUGUCAGAAUGUCUAUGGUUAAAGUCAACGCGAAGCCGUCCGAUGUAACCCACACCCCAGUCCCCUGGUCAGGGACCCUGUAUUUUUUAUUUUUUAUUUUUGGAUCGGUAAACCGAAAUUUCAAUGUUUGGUAAAAGUAAAACCUUGCUUUUUUUUUUUUUUUUUUGUCAUUAGUCCUUUUCUUGUGGUUGGUUGGUAAAUGGUAAGUAGGUUGGUUCAUGGUUGGUAUACUAAGUUUUGGCAAAAUCGCAAAUUGAGGGUAAAGUAAUUUUCUUGAUCGCUACUUUGUACUGGUAGUAGUAGUUGAAGGUAGAUUAGAUAGGAGAAUGGGGGGAUUGGACGAGGACGAGGACUGCUACCACCGCCGCCACGAAGCAUCAUCCGUGGGUAGUUGUAGUAUCGCCAUCCCGCCGCUUCAAACCCUCGAUGAUGGCAGCCGAAGCAAUGGAGUAGAAAUCAUCUCCUUCUCCGAUGUGGUGGACGAUGCCACCCUCCACUUUCACAUCAUCCGUCUUCACCGGCAGGCAGGGUUUCUUUCUUUCUUUAUAUUUUUUCCUAACUUCCCUCGCCCAGACCAGUCUUGUCCCCCCAUCGUCAUCUGCUGCCUUAAUUCUUUGAAAUACUCUCUAACUCACUAGUGCACGCUUAAUUCUUUGAUUCACUUGUUUGUUCACCAUUAUUACCAUGAAUCUCCAGUUUUACUUAACUGUUUCCCUGUGUGCAGAUAUACGCCUGGAUCGGUUGCAACUCUGCAAAAUUUGGACAUUUAUAUGCUGCUGCUCCUACACGUCCCGUAAAAAAAGCUCUUUUCUUUCAUUACUUUCUCCUUUUUUUUUUUCCCUCAUCUUUUUGUUUGCAUUUUCCCGAUUUCUGUUAUAUUUUACCUCAUUGCUAGGGCCAUGGUAAUGCUAAGACCUGCCCCUUGUGCUCUUAGACCUGUGCAUAAUCUAAUCUUCACUUUCAAGUUUUUUAUUUGGAUCACUUUGAAGACGUUGGCUUUGCUGUUCUUAAUUUGAUGUCUACAGAGCAAUGCUGUUAGUGUUACUUCUUUAAUUGGAGGAUCUUCUGACAACGCUGGAGCUGGUAUUGCCCGUCGAAUAGGUAAUUCUGUCUACAGUACCUGGACGUGAUUAUCCGAAUUGUUUCGUCUUCACCCCCUUUAUCACACACGGUUUUCUUUUUCUAGUUCUCAAGACUGGUCUUAACGUUGUAUUGGCUUGUAAUCUUCCAAAGAAUAGUCCCUUGCUUGAGGUUAGCUCUCUGACAUCAUGUAUGCGUUG